rnacentral:tRNA from 1 species
UCGUUAGCUCAGUUGGUAGAGCAGCGGACUUUUAAUCCGUUGGUCCCGCGUUCGAUCGCGGACGA